UUAACUGACUGUCAGUCUCUGAAUAGUAAGUCUUAGUGGCCAUUUUUGGUAAGCAGAACUGGCGAUGUGGGAUGAACCUAAACGUAAGUUAAAGUGCCUAAAAAUACGUUCAUCAGAUACCACAAAAGGUGUUGAUUCAUCUUGACAGUUGGACAGUGGCCAUGGAAGUCGGAAUCUGCUAAGGAGUGUGUAACAACUCACCAAACCGAAUGAAUUAGCCCUGAAAAUGGAUGGCGCUUAAACGUAUUACUUAUACUUUACCAUUAAGAUAAAUGCUAAAUCUUAAUGAGUAGGAGGGCGUAUGGAUAAUUUAGAAGACUGACAGUGAUGUUGGUUGGAAUUAUCUUUAGUGCAGAUCUUGGUGGUAGUAGCAAAUAUUCAAUAGAGAACAUUGAAGACUGAAGUGGAG
rnacentral:rRNA from 1 species